UUUACUCCACCGCCUAUAUAUAUAGGCAAACAUCAGUCUCUCUCCCUCUCGUGAGUCUCUCUCAUCGCUCUUAAUUUCUACCGACUCUGUCUCUCACUCCAACAACAAUUUUGUGCGGUUUUCCCCGAUGGUCGCCGCCGUAUGGCCGCUGCCGCGUUCAUGUUCCACUUUCCGGCCACUGCCGAAAUAUCGCACAGCCACCACUGUCCACUUUUCCGGCAACCCGAACCAUGCCCAUCGUUGUGUGUCUUAAUCUCAGUGGCUAGGGCUAAGGAUGGUUCGCAUGUUUAGACUAAGCGUAAGAGUAAGGCUAGGCGAGCAUCGCAAGUGAUUAAGGUCAACUUGAUAAUCAGGAAGAAAAUCCAGGAUGAAGUGUUUGAGACUAGUGGUAAUUGGUGUUGUCUAAAUUUGAUUAAGUUGUAAAAAUAGAUUGUUAAAUUGGUUAUUGGCUAUCCUUUUUAUCGAGGUUUAGCUGAUAAUAUAGUUUAAGUUGUAAUGAGAUUUGAUGGUUUGGGUUCUGAUUUCAAUACUAUAGCCUGUAUGCGAUCCUGUUUUCAGGGGGUGAAA